UACGUAGGGUGCAAGCGUUAAUCGGAAUUACUGGGCGUAAAGCGUGCGUAGGUGGUUUGUUAAGUCUGCUGUGAAAGCCCCGGGCUCAACCUGGGAAUGGCAGUGGAUACUGGCAAGCUAGAGUGCGGUAGAGGGUAGUGGAAUUCCCGGUGUAGCGGUGAAAUGCGUAGAGAUCGGGAGGAACACCAGUGGCGAAGGCGGCUACCUGGACCAGCACUGACACUCAGGCACGAAAGCGUGGGGAGCAAACAGG
rnacentral:rRNA from 1 species